rnacentral:rRNA from 1 species
AUUGAACGCUGGCGGCAGGCUUAACACAUGCAAGUCGAGCGGGGUGAUGGUGCUUGCACUAUCACUUAGCGGCGGACGGGUGAGUAAUGCUUAGGAAUCUGCCUAUUAGUGGGGGACAACAUCUCGAAAGGGAUGCUAAUACCGCAUACGUCCUACGGGAGAAAGCAGGGGAUCACUUGUGACCUUGCGCUAAUAGAUGAGCCUAAGUCGGAUUAGCUAGUUGGUGGGGUAAAGGCCUACCAAGGCGACGAUCUGUAGCGGGUCUGAGAGGAUGAUCCGCCACACUGGGACUGAGACGCGGCCCAGACUCCUACGGGAGGCAGCAGUGGGGAAUAUUAGACAAUAGGGGGAACCCUGAUCCAGCCAUGCCGCGUGUGUGAAGAAGGCCUUAUGGUUGUAAAGCACUUUAAGCGAGGAGGAGGCUCUUUUGGUUAAUACCCAAGAUAAGUGGACGUUACUCGCAGAAUAAGCACCGGCUAACUCUGUGCCAGCCGCCGCCGUAA